CCCUUAGAUGUUCUGGGCGGCCCGCGCACUACAAUGGCGUGUGCAGCGAGUGCCGAAGUAGAGUUUUCCGAGGUAUUCUUGCAAUGCUCGUUUUGAUGGGGAUAGACCCUGGCAACUGUUGGUUUUGAACGAGGAAUUCCUUGUAAGCAUGGUUUAUCAUCCGACGCUGAAUGCGUCCCUGCCCUUUGUACACACCGCCCGUCGCUCCUACCGAUGAGUCGUCCGGUGAAGUUCGUAGACCUCGUGAUCGCGGAUCACUGGGGGAAGCAAAAUGAACCUCGCGGUUUAGAGGAAGGAGAAGUCGUAACA
rnacentral:rRNA from 1 species